CCCUUAGAUGUUCUGGGCUGCACGCGCGCUACACUGCUAUCUUCAACGAGUAUCAACCUGCCCCGAGAGGGAUGGGUAAUCUUCUGAAAAGAUAGCGUGAUGGGGAUAGAUCAUUGCAAUUAUUGAUCUUCAACGAGGAAUUCCUAGUAAGCGCAAGUCAUCAGCUUGUGCUGAUUACGUCCCUGCCCUUUGUACACAUCGCCCGUCGCUCCUACCGAUUGAGUGAUCCGGUGAAUUAUCUGGAUUGCCUAUGUACCUUGAGUUGUAGGCGAGAAAUUUUGUGAACCUUAUCACUUAGAGGAAGGAGAAGUCGUAACA
rnacentral:rRNA from 1 species